AACAACAAUUCAAAAAUAGCUCUGUGAUUGAUGUUAACCAAGGUCGUUUUUUAAGUCUCCAUUGAGGUUUUUGACUGAUCGUUUCUGCUCGGUUUGAAGGCCUAUGCUUUUAGUUUUUAUUCUGUUCAAAUCCUUGUUGCCGAUCUUGUACUCGACAUCGUGAGAAGUUCUUCUAGCUAAUAAGUUCCAGCCUUUAAAUGUC
rnacentral:lncRNA from 1 species